GACUUUUUUCUUCUCCUGACUUAGUCAAGUAGGGCAGGUGCUUUAUGGAAAUAUCCCCAUGUUCCUCAGUGGCUUGAGAGCUCGGCUUGUGUUUAUAUAUUAAAAAAAGACAUACUGUCAUGUACAGGUAAUAAGUCAGGCCUGUUAUUGACUGUACAAAAGUAAUUGCUGUUGGAUUAACCUGUGAGCUUUCUGGGAGUAUUUCAAAGAGGAUUUUAGCAGCCAAAGUGAGGGUUGUCAGAGCCUUUGAGGAGCUUGUCACUCGAAUUGAUAGAGGUCUGUCCUUUUGUCUCUUUGUUGCUGACUUCUGUUCCCAAACAGCUGGGCGGCUUGACUGGUAAGAGGGCUCCCAGGAGCUGGAUUCCAGGCCCCCUGGGACAGGGAAUAAGGGAAUGACUAUGAGGAAUCAAAGGGCCUGCCCAGUGAUGUAAUUAAGGAUUCUGAGAAUAAAGAACUGAAAUGUGCUGGGUGAUAAGGGCAUGAUAUUUUAAGUGCUUUCAGUUUCUAGACUGCUAGUGCACAGUGUCUGGUGUUCUCCUUUCUGCCUUCUAAUAAAUUUAAACUGUGCUCAGAUUCCCAAACCUCAACCUGUCACAGUGUAGCCCUUUCUGAUUUUGUGUUUUUCUCAGGGUAUUGUCGUCUGGGAGUUUAAGAAAUUUGGAAAGUGAGAAACAUGGACAGAUCACAGAAGAUCGUGUUACUCUGGGAAUUCAAACCGCGGAUCCAAGCUCCCCUGCAAACACCUGCUGUUCAUUGAUAGCACGGUCAGCUGCUUAUUUCAGCUCUUUGCUCUGUUGUGAAAGCGUCUGUGUAGCUGCCUUCCUGAAGCUGAUUAUUCUGAAACGACAGGUUGGAAGCAUAGGCCAAAUAAAGUAGGUUUGUUGAAAGCUACAAGGUAAUUUGAUGAUUUUCCCGCUCUUGAAUGAACUUUCUGAUGCCUUCACCUUUUUACAGUCUGAAGCAUAUCAGUUCAUUACAUUUGGUAAAAAUACAUAUUAAUAUGUUCAGUAAGUAACUUGGGAAGAAAUGUGUUUAUCUUAUUUCACGAAAAGCUGAUCGGCGUGCAUUUCCUAAUCUGAAGAAUUUACUUAGAGGAGGGUGAUUAUGAUCAUACAACUUGGAUUGCCUCUGUCAGAGGUACAUUUGCAGUGCUUCCUGGAGAAGUGAUUAUUUUUAAUAUAUCCAUAUCCUUUGCCUUGUUCACUUAGUAGCUCCUUGAGUUAUUGAUUUCAUCAUUUAAUCUGAAGUGGUGUCAUCAGGGCCAGCUUCAUGGGCAUGCCACCUGUGCAGUUACUCAGGAGGGCCCCACACUUGGUUUAAUACUCUGCAAUUUCUUUCUUGAAAUCCUUAACACAUUGUGAACAAGGAGCUCUGAAUUUUCAUUUUGCAUUGGUCCCCACAGAUGUGUAGCUGAUCCUGGGUGUCAAUGAGCUGCAAGGACAUUGGAGUGGGCCAGAGUCGAGUAAUGAAAUGAGCAUGGAGCUUGGUCACUGGGUAGCUGUGUGACCUGCAAUAAGUUUGGUCCUUGGUUUUCUCAACAGGAAAUAAAUAAAAUAACUACCCCUACUUACUCCCA
rnacentral:lncRNA from 1 species